AGGAUGUUGGCUUAGAAGCAGCCAUCAUUUAAAGAGUGCGUAAUAGCUCACUAGUCGAGUGACACUGCGCCGAAAAUGUACCGGGGCUAAACAUAUUACCGAAGCUGUGGAUUGUCCUUUGGACAAUGGUAGGAGAGCGUUCUAAGGGCGUUGAAGCAUGAUCGUAAGGACAUGUGGAGCGCUUAGAAGUGAGAAUGCCGGUGUGAGUAGCGAAAGACGGGUGAGAAUCCCGUCCACCGAUUGACUAAGGUUUCCAGAGGAAGGCUCGUCCGCUCUGGGUUAGUCGGGUCCUAAGCUGAGGCCGACAGGCGUAGGCGAUGGAUAACAGGUUGAUAUUCCUGUACCACCUAUAAUCGUUUUAAUCGAUGGGGGGACGCAGUAGGAUAGGCGAAGCGUGCGAUUGGAUUGCACGUCUAAGCAGUAAGGCUGAGUAUUAGGCAAAUCCGGUACUCAUUAAGGCUGAGCUGUGAUGGGGAGAAGACAUUGUGUCUUCGAGUCGUUGAUUUCACACUGCCGAGAAAAGCCUCUAGAUAGAAAAUAGGUGCCCGUACCGCAAACCGACACAGGUAGUCAAGAUGAGAAUUCUAAGGUGAGCGAGCGAACUCUCGUUAAGGAACUCGGCAAAAUGACCCCGUAACUUCGGGAGAAGGGGUGCUCUUUAGGGUUAACGCCCAGAAGAGCCGCAGUGAAUAGGCCCAAGCGACUGUUUAUCAAAAACACAGGUCUCUGCUAAACCGUAAGGUGAUGUAUAGGGGCUGACGCCUGCCCGGUGCUGGAAGGUUAAGAGGAGUGGUUAGCUUCUGCGAAGCUACGAAUCGAAGCCCCAGUAAACGGCGGCCGUAACUAUAACGGUCCUAAGGUAGCGAAAUUCCUUGUCGGGUAAGUUCCGACCCGCACGAAAGGCGUAACGAUUUGGGCACUGUCUCAACGAGAGACUCGGUGAAAUCAUAGUACCUGUGAAGAUGCAGGUUACCCGCGACAGGACGGAAAGACCCCGUGGAGCUUUACUGUAGCCUGAUAUUGAAAUUCGGCACAGCUUGUACAGGAUAGGUAGGAGCCUUUGAAACGUGAGCGCUAGCUUACGUGGAGGCGCUGGUGGGAUACUACCCUAGCUGUGUUGGCUUUCUAACCCGCACCACUUAUCGUGGUGGGAGACAGUGUCAGGCGGGCAGUUUGACUGGGGCGGUCGCCUCCUAAAAGGUAACGGAGGCGCUCAAAGGUUCCCUCAGAAUGGUUGGAAAUCAUUCAUAGAGUGUAAAGGCAUAAGGGAGCUUGACUGCGAGACCUACAAGUCGAGCAGGGUCGAAAGACGGACUUAGUGAUCCGGUGGUUCCGCAUGGAAGGGCCAUCGCUCAACGGAUAAAAGCUACCCCGGGGAUAACAGGCUUAUCUCCCCCAAGAGUUCACAUCGACGGGGAGGUUUGGCACCUCGAUGUCGGCUCAUCGCAUCCUGGGGCUGUAGUCGGUCCCAAGGGUUGGGCUGUUCGCCCAUUAAAGCGGUACGCGAGCUGGGUUCAGAACGUCGUGAGACAGUUCGGUCCCUAUCCGUCGUGGGCGUAGGAAAUUUGAGAGGAGCUGUCCUUAGUACGAGAGGACCGGGAUGGACAUACCUCUGGUGUACCAGUUGUCGUGCCAACGGCAUAGCUGGGUAGCUAUGUGUGGACGGGAUAAGUGCUGAAAGCAUCUAAGCAUGAAGCCCCCCUCAAGAUGAGAUUUCCCAACUUCGGUUAUAAGAUCCCUCAAAGAUGAUGAGGUUAAUAGGUUCGAGGUGGAAGCAUGGUGACAUGUGGAGCUGACGAAUACUAAUCGAUCGAAGACUUAAUCAA
rnacentral:rRNA from 1 species